rnacentral:rRNA from 1 species
ACGUACACUCCUGCGGGAGGCAGCAGUGGGGAAUAUUGCACAAUGGGCGCAAGCCUGAUGCAGCCAUGCCGCGUGUAUGAAGAAGGCCUUCGGGUUGUAAAGUACUUUCAGCGGGGAGGAAGGCGAUAAGGUUAAUAACCUUGUUGAUUGACGUUACCCGCAGAAGAAGCACCGGCUAACUCCGUGCCAGCAGCCGCGGUAAUACGGAGGGUGCAAGCGUUAAUCGGAAUUACUGGGCGUAAAGCGGACGCAGGCGGUCUGUCAAGUCGGAUGUGAAAUCCCCGGGCUCAACCUGGGAACUGCAUUCGAAACUGGCAGGCUAGAGUCUUGUAGAGGGGGGUAGAAUUCCAGGUGUAGCGGUGAAAUGCGUAGAGAUCUGGAGGAAUACCGGUGGCGAAGGCGGCCCCCUGGACAAAGACUGACGCUCAGGUGCGAAAGCGUGGGGAGCAAACAGGAUUAGAAACCCCGGUAGUCCCAUG